UACGUAGGGCGCAAGCGUUGUCCGGAAUUAUUGGGCGUAAAGAGCUCGUAGGCGGUUUGUCGCGUCUGCUGUGAAAACGCGAGGCUUAACCUCGCGCCUGCAGUGGGUACGGGCAGACUAGAGUGCGGUAGGGGAGACUGGAAUUCCUGGUGUAGCGGUGGAAUGCGCAGAUAUCAGGAGGAACACCGGUGGCGAAGGCGGGUCUCUGGGCCGAUACUGACGCUGGAGGAGCGAAAGCGUGGGGAGCGAACAGG
rnacentral:rRNA from 1 species